rnacentral:rRNA from 1 species
GACGAACGCUGGCGGCGUGCUUAACACAUGCAAGUCGAACGGACAGGCCCUGCUUUUGUGGGUUGCUCGAUUGCCGCACGGGUGAGUAACACGUGUGUAACCUGCCCUUGUCUUUCUGAUAACUUCACGAAACUGGGGCUAAUACCGGAUAUGAUCUCCUGCUGCAUGGUGUUGGUUGGAAAGUUUCGGCGGUUGUGGAUGGACUCGCUGCUUAUCGGCUUGUUUGUGGAGUAGUGGCUUUCCAAGGCUUUGAGGGCUAGCCUGCCUGGGAGGGUUAACGGGCACAUGGGGACUGAGGGAGGGACCAGAAGCGAACGGGCGGCAGUAGGGGGGAGUAUGGCGGAAUGGGCGGAAGUGAGAGGCAGCAACGCUGGGAGCGGGAUGACGGCCUAUGGGGUGUAAACAGAUGUCGCCUGUGACGAAGAGUGAGUGACGGUAAUGGGUAAAGAAGCACCGGCUAACUACGUG